rnacentral:lncRNA from 1 species
CCUGGUUGUACCGCGGCUCCCACCGACAGCUCAGGAACCAGUUUGGCGUCUGGUUUGUCUGUUGUUUUACUGCUGACCUUCAGCUCAACUUUCCCCCCUGACCCCAGGAGGCAUCUAUCAUGACAAGAGGCUGUUUAACACAAAUGGUGCCCAUUUAUAGGGGAAGAAAGUCAGAAGAUUUCCUUUUUAUGAAGAAUUUGGUUUUUCACCCCUCUUUUCUCAGUCACCACAGGUGAAAUCCCUCCCAGCAGCUGGCUUAUGAAAUAAUGCGAGGGGAGGCCGUAAUGAGCUGAAAGCACCCUCAGCUGGAGAUAAAUAUAUGCAAAUGAGAUGCACAAACAAAGGAGCCUGGACAGAGAAAUAUCUGCAAUUCCAGCAAAAUGCUGCCUGCAGCUAGAAGAUGAACAGCUUUGAUAAAAUGUUGAAAAGAAUGUUUGCUGUGUUACUGAAUAAUACGUGCAGAUGCCCCUCAGAGCUCGAAGGACCCAAACAAACCCCAACAACAGAGUAUCUUAUCAUGGGAAGACACGUGUCGAUAAAAAAUAAAUGGAAUAAAACAACAGCAAAAAAGAAAGGUUGAGAAGAAUUAGGAGAAUAACCAGCAAGGUUGCUAUAGCUCAGAGAAAUUUCCUUGAGAAAGCAUGAAAAAGAGGAGAUAAAGCAAAAAAGAACUGACACAACGCCUCGAUAAAAUUCUAGCAAAAGAGAGCUUCAUAAUUUAUUCUCACUUUAUUUUCUUGAGAAGUUAAAUAAAACUAUGGUGGGGUAAUAUUUUAUAUUCUUU